rnacentral:rRNA from 1 species
AGUGAACGCUGGCGGUAGGCCUAACACAUGCAAGUCGAACGGCAGCACAGUAAGAGCUUGCUCUUACGGGUGGCGAGUGGCUGACUGAUGCGUAAUACAUCGGAAUCUCCUUUUUCGUGGGGGAUAACGUAGGGAAACUUACGCUAAUACCGCAUACGACCUACGGUUGAAAGCAGGUGAUCUUCAGACCUUGCGCGAUUGAAUGAGCCGAUGUCGGAUUGGCUAGUUGGCGGGGUAAGUGCCCACGAAGGCGACGAUCCGUAGCUGGUCUGGGAUGAUGGUCAGCCACACUGGAACUGAGACACGGUCCAGACUCCUACGGGAGGCAGCAGUGGGGAAUAGUGGACAAUGGGCGCAAGCCAGAUCCAGCCAUACCGCGUGGGUGAAGAAGGACUUCGGGUUGUAAAGCCCUUUUGUUGGGAAAGAAAAGCAGCAGGUUAAUACCCCGCUGUACUGACGGUACCCAAAGAAUAAGCACCGGCUAACUUCGUG